GGAGUGGGGGAUCCGGGGGAGACGAAGGUGAAGGAGCUGCGGGGCCGGUUUUGCGCCGGGAAAAGGUGGAGUGAAGGUACCUGAGCGCAGGAACCAUGGUCUUCACUGCUGCCUCAGCAUUAGCUGAAGUGCCAUGGGCCGGCUCCCAGGGUGCCAGAGUUUCCCAGGAACACCAUUGAGUACCACUGUCUGCAAGUUAAAAGAGAACUUACUUGAAGAUCGAUGUUUUCUCUUGCUGAUUCCAUCUCGCUGCCCUCAAGUCCCUUCACACGCACCGGGUGCCGGGAACAGACUGCGUGGGCUCCUCCAGGCUCCGCCGUCUGAGUCUCUGCUGCUUUCUUCGGGUGGGAGAGAGCACACAGCUGGCGGGACAGACCUGCCAUUCAUCCCUCUGAUGUGGGAUGCUCGUCUUGGCUGCAGCCCCUGGGGGAGGUGUGCACAUGCACACACGUGUGAGUGUAUGUGUGUGCACAUGCACACACGUGUGAGUGUAUGUGUGUGCACAUGUGUGUGCUCCAGGAGGUGGCACAUGGCGCCUUUUGAGUUGGUAGUGACAGCAUCAUUUUCACGAGUGGCUCCAGUGACCUUCCAGUCCCAGCGGAGCUGUCUG
rnacentral:antisense_RNA from 1 species